AUUGAACGCUGGCGGCAGGCCUAACACAUGCAGGUCGAACGGUAGCAGGAAGAAGCUUGCUUCUUUGCUGACGAGUGGCGGACGGGUGAGUAAUGUCUGGGAAACUGCCUGAUGGAGGGGGAUAACUACUGGAAACGGUAGCUAAUACCGCAUAACGUCGCAAGACCAAAGAGGGGGACCUUCGGGCCUCUUGCCAUCGGAUGUGCCCAGAUGGGAUUAGCUAGUAGGUGGGGUAACGGCUCACCUAGGCGACGAUCCCUAGCUGGUCUGAGAGGAUGACCAGCCACACUGGAACUGAGACAUGGUCCAGACUCCUACGGGAGGCAGCAGUGGGGAAUAUUGCACAAUGGGCGCAAGCCUGAUGCAGCCAUGCCGCGUGUAUGAAGAAGGCCUUCGGGUUGUAAAGUACUUUCAGCGGGGAGGAAGGGAGUAAAGUUAAUACCUUUGCUCAUUGACGUUACCCGCAGAAGAAGCACCGGCUAACUCCGUG
rnacentral:rRNA from 1 species